GAGAUCUGACUUUCAAUAGAUCGCAGCGAGGGAGCUGCUCUGCUACGUACGAAACCCCGACCCAGAAGCAAGUCGUCUACGAAUGGUUUAGCGCCAGGUUCCCCACGAACGUGCGUUGCGUGACGGGCGAGAGGGCGGCCGCCUUUCCGGCCGCGGCGGGGACCGGCUAUCCGAGGCCAACCGAGGCGCCGCGGGGCUGCCGUAUCGUUCCGCCUGGGCGGGAUUCUGACUUAAGAGGCG
rnacentral:lncRNA from 10 species